CACCAAACACUUCCCCUUCCUUCUAUGACGCCUCGACCUUGAAUUGUGAUGCCUCUCAGUUUUGUGAACUCGAGCCAUUGCAGCAACCCUGAUCCCCAAGCCUUCGGGCUUGUUGGAGCAAUGAUAAUCCCAUCCAACUGUGAACAAUAACGAGAUAAUGGCAACGUCAGUGCUAAAAUCGGUCUAUUGCUUAUGACAAUAAAUCUUCUGUACCCUUGGUUGCAGAAAAUUUUAAAUCUGCGGUUACGAUGCAAGUCAUAAUUAACAUGUAGAAUUUCUCGAGGAAGGAUGGACGAAGGAACGCACGUCAGGACCGCUUGUACAUUUUGCCGGUAAGUUUCUUUCAUUGUAAAAAGAGGACAAUAUAUGGGCCUUCUACUGUAUUAUAAUUAAUACACGAUGUGGUAAUUUUAACUUGUGCAUUUGAGUAUACGAUAAUGUGAAAGAGCGGGUGAGGACAGAAUGCUGCA